CUCCUUUCCCCAUUGAAACCAAGUUCUCAGGUCAUGGCACAAACAUAGAAAAUUAAACUCAUCCUUUACAGAAAGGAAAACAUUCCUGGAAGACCAGUGUAAUGCCUUGAGUUCUCAGAAAACAGCUUAAGAAGCAGAAUUGAACCUGCUAAAGAAGAAAUUGUAUAUGGUGGUGGAGUUCUCUGAAAACUGAAAACUGACUGCAGAAGAGAAGCUAGAAGAGAAACUGUAUGAAUUGAAUGCAACUAAGAAUGAGCUGUUAGCUGCCGAUAAAUAUCUGAAAGUAACUGAAGAANNNNNNNNNNNNNN
rnacentral:lncRNA from 1 species